GCCUUCUUGGCUCAGUUGGCUAGAGCGCAGGUCUCAUAGCUUGUCUGUGAGUAAGCAUUGGCUUACGUAUAAUCCUGAGGUCGCAAGUUCGAGCCUUGCAGAGGGCA